rnacentral:rRNA from 1 species
ACGAACGCUGGCGGCGUGCUUAACACAUUCCAGUCGCACGGAAAGGCCCUGCUUUUGUGGGGUGCUCGAGUGGCGAACGGGUGAGUAACACGUGAGUAACCUGCCCUUGACUUUGGGAUAACUUCAGGAAACUGGGGCUAAUACCGGAUAGGAGCUCCUGCUGCAUGGUGGGGGUUGGAAAGUUUCGGCGGUUGGGGAUGGACUCGCGGCUUAUCAGCUUGUUGGUGGGGUAGUGGCUUACCAAGGCUUUGACGGGUAGCCGGCCUGAGAGGGUGACCGGCCACAUUGGGACUGAGAUACGGCCCAGACUCCUACGGGAGGCAGCAGUGGGGAAUAUUGCACAAUGGGCGGAAGCCUGAUGCAGCAACGCCGCGUGCGGGAUGACGGCCUUCGGGUUGUAAACCGCUUUCGCCUGUGACGAAGCGUGAGUGACGGUAAUGGGUAAAGAAGCACCGGCUAACUACGUG